rnacentral:rRNA from 1 species
UACGAAGGGUGCAAGCGUUACUCGGAAUUACUGGGCGUAAAGCGUGCGUAGGUGGUUGUUUAAGUCUGUUGUGAAAGCCCUGGGCUCAACCUGGGAACUGCAGUGGAAACUGGACAACUAGAGUGUGGUAGAGGGUAGCGGAAUUCCCGGUGUAGCAGUGAAAUGCGUAGAGAUCGGGAGGAACAUCCAUGGCGAAGGCAGCUACCUGGACCAACACUGACACUGAGGCACGAAAGCGUGGGGAGCAAACAGA